rnacentral:lncRNA from 10 species
GUGCACAAGUUUGCCUCCAAACAACUGGGUGAUGCCUCCAAACAGACCUGGAAUCAUCCAUUUCUCCAAGGAUCUCUGCUUCUUCUUGUAAAAUAGGCUAUUUAAGGACUACAAUCUGAGCAUUAAGGGUCUUGGAGGAAGGCAUCCUUCUAUUCUACUGAUCAGAAAGCUGGACAAAGUCCCACUGCCAGGCUACACAGUUGGUGCCAUUUGCGGAGGUGACCUUUGACCUUUAACCCACGCGGCCACCCGCCCGAGCUCUUACCCCUGCUGCCCCUCGCGCGUCCCACUCCCCGUCCCUGCCGGAUCCGCUUCCCUGCGCUGGGCCCAGCGCGCCGCCAGGGAAGGGGCCGGAGCCUGGGAGCCCGCCCCGCCGUCGCCCGUCCUCCGCCCGCAGGCCCACCCGCAGCGGUCACGUGAAGGACCGAGCGCCGCGCGCCCAGGCGGGGCCUCCGGCCUGCAC